UUCGCCACGGAGGCAGCAGUGGGGGAUAUUGCACAAUGGGGGAAACCCUGAUGCAGCGACGCCGCGUGGGUGAAGAAGCGCCUCGGCGCGUAAAGCCCUGUCAGCAGGGAAGAAAAUGACGGUACCUGAAGAAGAAGCCCCGGCUAACUACGUGCCAGCAGCCGCGGUAAUACGUAGGGGGCAAGCGUUAUCCGGAUUUACUGGGUGUAAAGGGGGCGCAGAUGGCGAUGCAAGCCAGGAGUGAAAGCCCGGGGCCCAACCCCGGGACUGCUCUUGGAACUGCGUGGCUAGAGUGCAGGAGGGGC
rnacentral:rRNA from 1 species